rnacentral:lncRNA from 1 species
UUUUAACAUUUAUAUGAUAUAAAUAAUUUCUUUAAUAUUAUAAUUUGCUUGAUUUUAAAGACUUUGUUUUCAUUUCCACAACACCACCACCCCUAUAUCCUUGUAACAGGAUGAACAGUACUUAAAGAAGGAAAAAAGGAGAAAUAAAGAAAGAGAGGGCAAACACUCAAAUACCAAUAAUCAGAUGCACUAUAUAUAAUAUCGUUCUGUACACACUAUACCAGCUUCCUCUAUAGUCAGUCUUUUCUUUAUAAACAUGCUUCUUUUCCAGACUCUGAAAUCUGUAUAUCUGCAGAUACUCAUACACUUGUUCUUUCCACUUUUUCCUUGGCUUUCCUCUCUCACAUUUACUUUCCACACAUUCAUGCUUUUAUGUGACAAGGAGGAUUGCAUGCUCCAGGGAUCUUUCUGGGUUGUUGGUAUUUAUUUCAUCUUUUCAGUUCUUUAGAUAAUCAAAUUGUUGUUUAAUCAUAAACCAUUGCUUUUUUUUACCUUUAUUUAAUUUCAUUGUUGAGAAUAAACUCUUGUUUCGAUAUUAUAUCUAUGGGAUGUCGAUUUUUGAUUUACAAGUUUUUAUUUUAUGAGCACACUCCAGGAACGAAUUAAUUUAUAAAGUUAAGAACUACUUGUAAUAGAAUCUAUAGAGAGCUAUUAAAAUGUUUCAUUGUUAACUGCAAAAGAUGAUCAAGCUAAACAGGGACUCCAGAUUUCUGAAGAGUCUGAGGAACAGUGGUCAAUGCACUAGCAUACUCUCAUCUGUUUAGUUUACCUAAAUUAUAUAAAACUGUUACAGUAAGAUGAAUUGUGAAAAAAAUUAAGAUUAUCAUGCUAUGUGAUAAAAAAAAGAAGUUGACUGCAUCCUAUUCUAUUAAAUUCUAUCCUAUUCUAUACAAGCAGAUGAAGAACUCUGCAAUCCUGUGCUCUGAACAUGAUGAAUCCUGUGCUCUGCACAGGAUGUGCAGAGCACAUGAAAGGAUAUGAGUUCAUCUUCUCCUCAACCCAAGAAUUUCUGAAAGUUAUCAACACAGUAGAUCCUCUUCCCCAAGAAAAAUAUCCAUGCUUAAUUAUGAGUCCAGUGGUCAAUUUUGAACUUGCUUAUCUAGAAUUACACCAAUUUAUGUUAAAACAUCUAUCCUCCAAGUUUGAUAAGAUGAUGAUCAGGAACAUUUGUUAUUUGAUAUAAAAUAUCAUGAGUUAUACUUUAAUUUUGAAGAAAAUUCUAUGUACAGAAGAGAUAUGUACUGAUUGAUAAUCUGUUGACCUGUGUCUGGUACUGGAUGUUUCGCCAAACUGAUAGUAGGAAGAAAGGAGGUGGUAGUUCUACAUUUUCAUUACUGAAAAUCAAACUAUACAAAUGGUACAUAUCAUAUCAUAUAUAUAUAUGUUCAUUUCACAUGAAAGCAAAGUGGAAGAUAGCAUAAUUGAAAGCUUCUUCACAGACCUUGUCUUAGGGAUUAAAUUAUGGCUUGAAAGGAAGAAUGACAACAUGAAUUAUUUAGAUGUUAUGAUCAUGAUUAGGGGAAGGGAAUACCACACUGAAGUGUACUAAAAAAAAGCAUACACAUCUACUUCCAAAUUUGUUAUCAGAUCCAUGGGCUAUAAAAUUUUCUCAUUCAGGUAUCUUUUGAAACAGUUAGAAAACAGGAAUUAAAUUUGGAUUAUGAAUAAAUAGAGCUGUAUAAAUACAACACAGGAAUACUAAGGAGAUUAGACAAAAUUGUGAAAAAAUGAUAGGAAAUGAGUGCAAAGAGAGAACCAUUUACAGACAGAUAUAUCAAGUCCAAUUCUUAUAUGCUAAUGAUUAAUUUAGAUAAAAAUUGAUAUAAUGUUAUAUUUUCCAGAGAAAACAUAGUUUUUAAUAGAAUUAGGAAUGAUUAAGAUCAAUACUUCUCAAAAAGGAAAACAUGUAUUUAUAGAAUUAAUCUAUUCAAUCAAAACACAUUUUGGACAUAAUAAUGCAGUAUGAUACAUUGCAUAAAAAUUUUGUGACUAAGAUUAAUUAGCAAAUGUGAGAUAUCAAUAAUGAAGCUCUGUUGAUUGCCAUAUCAAGGAGAGCCUAAAUCAUGUAAGAUGGCUGUGCAUUAGUAAGAAGUCAACAUUAUUAAACCAAUAGCUGAGUUACUCAUUAUCUUCCACAAGAAACUAAAGAGAGAAUGAUCCAAAUAAAUUACAUUUUACUUGGAAUGGUGUUAUUUUAAUAAAGACUGAAUUGAGCAUGUACUUUUUCCUGUAGAUGCUGAAUUUAUGCUGAGUUGGAAUAGGAAUUUCCAUUUCUGCAUCUAACUUUUAACAGUUUCUAUUUUACUGCUUUUUCACACUCAUUAAUUACUAUAAAUAACUCAACACACAUUGCAGUUGUGAUAAACUGGUUUAAUAUAUCGAAC